rnacentral:rRNA from 1 species
UACGGAGGAUUCGAGCGUUAUCCGGAUUUAUUGGGUUUAAAGGGUGCGUAGGCGGUUAAAUAAGUUUGAGGUUAAAUGCGUUAGCUCAACUAGCGUUUGCCUUGAAAACUGUUUGACUAGGAUGUAAACGGCGCAGGCGGAAUGAAUCAUGUAGCGGUGACAUGCAUAGAUAUGAUUCAGAACACCGAUCGCGAAGGCAGCUUGCGAGGAUACGAUUGACGCUGAAGCACGAAAGCGUGGGUAUCGAACAGGAUUAGAUACCCUGGUAGUCCACGCUGUAAACGAUGAUAACUAGAUGUUGGCGAUAUACAGUCAGUGUCGAAUUGAAAGAUAUAAGUUAUCCACCUGGGGAGUACGAUCGCAAGGUUG